rnacentral:lncRNA from 1 species
ACUUCUACUGACGGCGUCCCUUGGAGCUGCGAGAGGAGCUUUGACGCUGCUAGCGACGGACAUGGACAAUGUGACCGCAGCGACGAUGAUGGCAGUCACGGGCAAUUUUGCGCUGGCAUUGUCAUGCGUAAUUCUGUUGCUGCUCGUGUGGAAACGAUGGAGACGAUGCCUGCCGCCACCGGGAUUCGCAUGCGCCUUACUUGGUUAUAUGACGGCAGCUACAGUUCUGGACACACAUCAAGACAUGGAAACUAUCCUAACACGAAAGGAAAUCCAACUUGAGGAUGACUUUUUCAAAGAAGCAAACGUAGUUAUCAGCGUCCUACUUGUCGCCUGGACAUCAGGGAAUUUCAUUGUCGCCGGCGUGCGUGAUUUGGUGAUGUCAAGGUCGAGCCU